CGGACUGUAGGCUGCAACUCGCCUACACGAAGUCGGAAUCGCUAGUAAUUGCGGAUCAGCAUGCCGCGGUGAAUACGUUCCCGGGCCUUGUACACACCGCCCGUCACACCAUGGGAGUUUGUAACGCCCAAAGUCGGUGGCCUAACCUUUAUGGAGGGAGCCGCCUAAGGCGGGACAGAUGACUGGGGUGAAGUCGUAACAAGGUAAC
rnacentral:rRNA from 1 species